ACUUAGUUGGUCACAGUGCCUGUCUAGUAAACAGGCGAUCCUGGAUUCAAAUCCCAG
rnacentral:tRNA from 1 species